rnacentral:rRNA from 1 species
AUUGAACGCUGGCGGCAUGCCUUACACAUGCAAGUCGAACGGCAGCACGGGGGCUUGCACCUGGUGGCGAGUGGCGAACGGGUGAGUAAUACAUCGGAACAUGUCCUGUAGUGGGGGAUAGCCCGGCGAAAGCCGGAUUAAUACCGCAUACGAUCUACGGGUGAAAGCGGGGGACCUUCGGGCCUCGCGCUGUUGGGUUGGCAGAUGGCUGAUUAGCUAGUUGGCGGGGGCAAGGCCUACCAAGGCGACGACCAGUAGCUGGUCUGAGAGGGCGACCAGCCACACUGUGACUGAGACACGGCCCAGACUCCUACGGGAGGCAGCAGUGGGGAAUUCUGGACAAUGGGGGAAAGCCUGAUCCAGCAAUGCCGCGUGUGGGAAGAAGGCCUUCGGCUUGGAAAGCACUUUUGUCCGGAAAGAAAUCCUGGGCCCUAAUACGGGCGGGUGAUGACGGUACCGGAAGAAUAAGCACCGGCUAACUACGUG